rnacentral:rRNA from 1 species
UGGGGAAUCUUGCGCAAUGGACGAAAGUCUGACGCAGCAACGCCGCGUGAGGGACGAAGGCUUCUGAGUUGUAAACCUCUUUCGACAGGAACGAUUGUGACGGUACCUGUAGAAGAAGCACCGGCCAACUAUGUGCCAGCAGCCGCGGUGAUACAUAGGGUGCGAGCGUUAUUCGGAUUUAUUGGGCGUAAAGAGCUCGUAGGCGGUUCGACAAGUCGGGUGUUAAACCCCCCAGGCUUAACCUGGGGCCGCCACCCGAAACUGUCGUGACUAGAGUUUGGUAGGGGAUCACGGAAUUCCUGGUGUAGCGGUGGAAUGCGCAGAUAUCAGGAGGAACACCAGUAGCGAAGGCGGUGAUCUGGGCCAAUACUGACGCUGAGGAGCGAAAGCGUGGGGAGCGAACAGGAUUAGAUACCCCAGUAGU